rnacentral:misc_RNA from 1 species
GACACCUCUGUUACCGAACAUGGGUCUCUCACUAAAAUAUAAAAUAUGAUCUUAUUACUCAAUGCGCAACCAUUUGAGUCAAGUGUCAAGUUGAAUAUGUCUCUUCACAAUUUGACAAGAUCAAUAAUUAGGGAUGUGGUUCAUUCUUUGACAGAGCAAAUAGCAUUUUUAGCUACCCAUUAAUAAAUGAUCUUGCAUAGAUU